UGGGGUAUCGUCAAGCGGUAAGACAAAGCACUUUGACUGCUUCAUCCGUCGGUUCGAAUCCGGCUACCCCAG
rnacentral:tRNA from 1 species